rnacentral:sRNA from 1 species
UGUUGAUGAAUGCCCUUUUCACAGACUGCCUCUAGUGACUAGAGGCAGUCUGUGAAAAGGGCAUUCAUCCACA